rnacentral:rRNA from 1 species
UAUUAUGAAGUAGCAAUACGGAUUGAUAGCUUAGUGGCGAACGGGUGAGUAAUACAUAGGUAACCUGCCCUCAGGUUUGGGAUACUCCCGAGAAAUCGGGCACAAUACCAAAUAUGACUCCGAGGUGAAAUGCCAUGGGGUAAAAGCUGCGAGCAAUCGUGGCGCCUAAGGAGGGGCCUGUGCCCUAUCAGCUUGUUGGUGAGGUAACGGCUCACCAAGGCUAAGACGGGUAGCCGGACUGAGAGGUCGAUCGGCCACACUGGAACUGAGACACGGUCCAGACUCCUACGGGAGGCAGCAGUGAGGAAUUUUGCGCAAUGGGCGAAAGCCUGACGCAGCGACGCCGCGUGGGGGACGAAGGCCUUCGGGUCGUAAACCUCUGUCGGGCGGGAAGAAAGCGGUGGGGUCCAACACAUCCUGUCGCCUGACUGUACCGCCAAAGGAAGCCCCGGCUAACUCCGUGCCAGCAGCCGCGGUAAUACGGAGGGGGCGAGCGUUGUUCGGAAUUAUUGGGCGUAAAGGGCGCGUAGGCGGCCGUGUAAGUCGGUUGUGAAAUCCCCUGGCUCAACCAGGGAAUUGCGACCGAAACUGCACGGCUUGAGGCCGGGAGAGGAGAGUGGAAUUCCCAGUGUAGCGGUGAAAUGCGUAGAUAUUGGGAGGAACACCGGUGGCGAAGGCGGCUCUCUGGACCGGCUCUGACGCUGAGGCGCGAAAGCUAGGGGAGCAAACAGGAUUAGAUACCCUGGUAGUCCUAGCUGUAAACGAUGGGCACUUGGUGUUGCGGGUAUCGACCCCUGCAGUGCCGAAGCUAACGCAUUAAGUGCCCCGCCUGGGGGAGUACGGUCGCAAGGCUGAAACUCAAAAGGAAUUGA